GAUGAACGCUAGCGGCAGGCUUAACACAUGCAAGUCGAGGGGUAGAGGAAGCUUGCUUCCUUGAGACCGGCGCACGGGUGCGUAACGCGUAUACAAUCUACCUUUUACAGAGGGAUAGCCCAGAGAAAUUUGGAUUAAUACCUCAUAGUAUUUUCGGAUCGCAUGAUUUGAUUAUUAAAGUUCCAACGGUAAAAGAUGAGUAUGCGUCCCAUUAGCUAGAUGGUAAGGUAACGGCUUACCAUGGCAAUGAUGGGUAGGGUCCUGAGAGGGAGAUCCCCCACACUGGUACUGAGACACGGACCAGACUCCUACGGGAGGCAGCAGUGAGAAUAUUGGACAAUGGGCGCAAGCCUGAUACCAGCCAUGCCGCGUG
rnacentral:rRNA from 1 species